AAUCAGACUGUCCCCAAGUGCAGUGUGUCAGUCAGUAUGUAGCAAAACAGGCAGACGAGCUAAGCUUGGAGCCAUCUGAUGUCAUCAAUGUGCUGCGCAAAACCAGUGAAGGUUGGUAUGAAGGCAUGCGUCUCUCUGAUGGAAAGAAAGGCUGGUUUCCAGCAAAGAAUACAUCAGAAGUAACCACUGAUCACCAGAGACGACGGAAUGUGAGGGAGAAGUACCAAAUCGUACAAGCAACCAGUCAAAACACUUAAAGUUGACUCCAAUAUACUUUCUGCCCAUCCCAUUCGCCCUCACUUCUCAAUAGCUUCCUGUCACUCACAAACACAAAGACACUAUGAAGUUGUCUGGCACAAACACUCAUUUCCUAUUGAAGCAGGAAGCUGGGACUAAUUAGUAUCAUUAUUUUUGAAUAUAAAGAACAUCAAGAAGUUCAAAAGGUUAAAAAUGUUCAAAAGGAAGCUUGGAUUGUGAAAAAUAAAUUUUAUUAGAUGUGGUGUUGUCAUAACUUUACUGACACCUAUCGCAUCGAAUAGAGCAGAACACAAUUUGUUUUUGAUGAUAAAUGCCUAUGUAGAACACCUUCUUCACAGGUGACACAAUAAAAUGUUUACUAAUA